AAUUUAGUAGUUUAGUUAGUAUAACUCUUAAUUUUGAAUUAAGAAACGUAGUUCGAUUUCUACUUAAAUUC